rnacentral:rRNA from 1 species
CUGAACCAGCCAAGUAGCGUGAAGGAUGACUGCCCUAUGGGUGGUAAACUUCUUUUAUAAAGGAAUAAAGUCGGGUAUGCAUACCCGUUUGCAUGUACUUUAUGAAUAAGGAUCGGCUAACUCCGUGCCAGCAGCCGCGGUAAUACGGAGGAUCCGAGCGUUAUCCGGAUUUAUUGGGUUUAAAGGGAGCGUAGGUGGAUUGUUAAGUCAGUUGUGAAAGUUUGCGG